GGGUUGCAACCCACAAGCAGGGCUCUCCCAGCAGCACCCAGGAAGGCCACACCAUCACUGGGAACCCCUCUGACUCCUCCAGGAGGCCAGGCUGACCUUCAUGAGAGCCUGCAUGCCAGCCUGGUCCUGUCUAGACUCAUUCUGACCUUGAGAGGGGCUCCUCGCAGGGUGGGCAACACCACUCCACCUGGCCCACCUGACCGAGAUGCACUGCUAGAGGAGCAGUUUGUGGGGGCCUCGGCUUGUCCCCAUGUCUGCUUCUGCAGUCUGGGUGCCUGGUAGUGCGGGCAUGUGGAAGAACACCAGUCAGGAAGCCUGGGCUCUGGGCCACUUGCAGGCCAUCCUUAAAGCCAACCCCCAAGGUCCCAGGAUCCUCAGUGCCAGAGUUCUGCUUCAGAAAACAGAAGGCGAGCUUUUGUGCCCUGAGCUCCUCGUUUCAGCAAGUGGUGGCUCCCACUGCACCUCAUGGAGACCAGGGAAAGGCAGGCUUCAGAGCUGAGUGUCUCUCCAGUCCCAGGCCUGCCUUUCCAGGUGCAGCAGCUCUCACAUUCUUUGGCCUUUUAUACCUCUCGUAAGCAAACAGGAAACUGGUGAGACCAGCACCCCACGGAACAGAGGGGCCACACACCCAGUUGCCUGAGCACAGCAGAGCCUGUGCCUCAGCUAGGGCCCAGGGCACAUGUGGUUUUGACACAGGUGGCUUUGCC
rnacentral:lncRNA from 1 species